rnacentral:rRNA from 1 species
CCGAGUUUACAACUCCCAAACCCCUGUGAACAUACCAAUUGUUGCCUCGGCGGAUCAGCCCGCUCCCGGUAAAACGGGACGGCCCGCCAGAGGACCCCUAAACUCUGUUUCUAUAUGUAACUUCUGAGUAAAACCAUAAAUAAAUCAAAACUUUCAACAACGGAUCUCUUGGUUCUGGCAUCGAUGAAGAACGCAGCAAAAUGCGAUAAGUAAUGUGAAUUGCAGAAUUCAGUGAAUCAUCGAAUCUUUGAACGCACAUUGCGCCCGCCAGUAUUCUGGCGGGCAUGCCUGUUCGAGCGUCAUUUCAACCCUCAAGCCCUCGGGUUUGGUGUUGGGGAUCGGCGAGCCCUUGCGGCAAGCCGGCCCCGAAAUCUAGUGGCGGUCUCGCUGCAGCUUCCAUUGCGUAGUAGUAAAACCCUCGCAACUGGUACGCGGCGCGGCCAAGCCGUUAAACCCCCAACUUCUGAAUGUUGACCUCGGAUCAGGUAGGAAUACCC